CGCACGGGUGAGUAAGGCUUAGGUAAUCUGCCCUUUCGCUGGGGACAACAGGGGGAAACUCCUGCUAAUACCGAAUGACCCUAAUUUUUCUGCGGAUCGAUUAGGGAAAGACGUAAGUCGCGAAAGGAGGAGCCUGAGUACCAUUAGCUUGUUGGUGGGGUAAAAGCCUACCAAGGCUGCGAUGGUUAGCUGGUCUGAGAGGAUGAUCAGCCACACUGGUACUGAAACACGGACCAG
rnacentral:rRNA from 1 species